rnacentral:rRNA from 2 species
AACUGUAGUAAUUCUAGAGCUAAUACAUGCCACUAUGCCCUGACCCGCAAGGGGACGGGUGGAUUUAUUAGAACAGAACCAACCGGGAAUGGCUUCGGUCGUUCCUGUUGCAUUCUGUGAUGACUCUGGAUAACUUCACUGAUCGCAGUCGGCCUUGAGCCGGCGACGGAUCCUUCAAAUGUCUGCCCUAUCAAUUUUCGAUGGUAGGUGACCUGCCUACCAUGGUUCUAACGGGUAACGGGGAAUCAGGGUUCGAUUCCGGAGAGGGAGCCUGAGAAACGGCUACCACUUCCAAGGGAGGCAGCAGGCGCGCAAAUUACCCAAUCCCGGCACGGGGAGGUAGUGACGAAAGAUACGGAUACGGGACUCAGUUGAGGCUCCGUAAUUCGAAUGAGUACAGCUUAAAUCCUUUAACGAGGAUCAACUGGAGGGCAAGUCUGGUGCCAGCAGCCGCGGUAACUCCAGCUCCAGAAGCGUAUAUUAAAGUUGUUGCAGUUAAAAAGCUCGUAGUUGGAUCUGGGUUGCAUGGCUACAUGCCGUCGCUUGUGGGUUUGUCCUGGUGUAAACUGGGUUAAACUCGCGAGUCGGUCUAGUGGUUGUGCUUCCUUUCUGCUGUGUCUGUUUCGACAGGUGUCAGCGUGACUGGUGGGUUCGUCUCGCUGGUCUGUUGGCAUGCUUCUUGAUGCCUUUAAACGGGUGUC